rnacentral:tRNA from 1 species
GGCCCCAUCGUCCAGAGGCCUAGGACACCGGUCUUUCAAGCCGGAAACCCGGGUUCGAAUCCCGGUGGGGUCA